rnacentral:tRNA from 2 species
GUUUUAAUAAUUUAAAAAAAAUACUGGUCUUGUAAACCAGAAAUAAGUUUACCUUUUAAAACU